GUUUGUUUGUUUUUUACUUCUCGUUUUUCCCCUCUUGCUCACUUCUCACUUGAUCUGUGGAUAAAAUCAUUCAGUGACUGUCCCCUAGCAAUCAAAUCAUCCUUUUUUUUUUUUGGCACCACAGACCAAGAUAUUGACACCACCUCCGAACAUGUUAGGCAUUGCACAAUUCAGUGAGUCAGUAAUUCAGGUACAAUUUAGUUUGAAUUUUGGGAAUUCGCACAAACACACAUUCGGCCCCAAAUUGAAAUUCUUUCUGAAAUUAAUCUCCAAGUCUAGUAUCUCGAAUCUCCUUUGUGCUGGGUUUUUGCACAUGAGAAAAAUAUGAAGAAGCCCAAUGACGGAUGAAGCACCAGGAGCUGAAGCAAAAGGUUGGUGGCCCCCGUGAGGGUGAUUUUUAAGUAUUUCUCACCUCAAUUUGCUGACCAGGUAUGCAGAAACCUACCAAGUUAAAAGAGUCGAUUUAAUAUCA